GACGAACGCUGGCGGCGUGCUUAACACAUGCAAGUCGAACGGAAAGGCCCUGCUUUUGUGGGGUGCUCGAGUGGCGAACGGGUGAGUAACACGUGAGUAACCUGCCCUUGACUUUGGGAUAACUUCAGGAAACUGGGGCUAAUACCGGAUAGGAGCUCCUGCUGCAUGGUGGGGGUUGGAAAGUUUCGGCGGUUGGGGAUGGACUCGCGGCUUAUCAGCUUGUUGGUGGGGUAGUGGCUUACCAAGGCUUUGACGGGUAGCCGGCCUGAGAGGGUGACCGGCCACAUUGGGACUGAGAUACGGCCCAGACUCCUACGGGAGGCAGCAGUGGGGAAUAUUGCACAAUGGGCGGAAGUCUGAUGCAGCAACGCCGCGUGCGGGAUGACGGCCUUCGGGUUGUAAACCGCUUUCGCCUGUAACGAAGCGUGAGUGACGGUAAUGGGUAAAGAAGCACCGGCUAACUACGUG
rnacentral:rRNA from 1 species